CGACAGAAAUGGAUUAAAGCAGUGCGCCGAAAAAAGCUUCUAUCCAUAAAGCUUCUGAGGGCGCAUCGGAGCGGCCUAUCUACAAAAGGCUGAUUGUAAAGGGCGUGAUCACCAGGUGCGGGACUCAACUGGUGUUCCUAGGCGGAACUGCCGCUCUUACGAAUGAUCAAGCUCCAACGGCGGCUCCAUGGAAGGGCUGUUCUGGCAAAUUACGCAUCUCGUUCAUGCUACACAUGCCCGGUUUAUUCGGAGCCAUAAUCGCCUCAGAGCAAUCCAGGCAGCAUAUAGCAUCAGCUUAAGUACUAAAGCCACUUCUUGUGUGAUUGCAGGUACCAUGCAGCCGCCCUUGAGCGAGUGUACGAACACCGUGUACUUAUGGAACAGCUGGCUUACGUGCAAGAAAUCGACGAGGUAGGAGUGGCCUUGGCGGUUCGACACCAGCUCGCACGCAUCGAGGGUCUUGAAGACUUCAUGCGAUACGCUGGCGUCGUCAAGGAGCGAGUGGACUUCCACCCAAGCCAGGAUGGGAGUGCUCAACUAGACGUCCUCAACGAAGACUGCUGGCGUCUCGUGAGACGUUACUUGAUGUUGGACGACGUCAAGGAGCCGUCAGUAUGACCGGCGCAAGACUCGGAUGGCUCCAACCUUUUGUAACAGUUCAAGUUGGCGGGGAAUGUAGGUAGGAGUGGCCUUGGCGGUUCGACACCAGCUCGCACGCAUCGAGGGUCUUGAAGACUUCAUGCGAUACGCUGGCGUCGUCAAGGAGCGAGUGGACUUCCACCCAAGCCAGGAUGGGAGUGCUCAACUAGACGUCCUCAACGAAGACUGCUGGCGUCUCGUGAGACGUUACUUGAUGUUGGACGACGUCAAGGAGCCGUCAGUAUGACCGGCGCAAGAAUCGGAUGGCUCCAACCUUUUGUAACAGUUCAAGUUGGCGGGGAAUGUGGCGAUAAAAAAAGCAGCAACCUUCAGGGUUCUUGAAAUAUGCAGCAUGCCUUAAGCCACCUCAUGCCAAUAAAUACCACUUGUGGCUUUCCCAAGCGCAAAAA